GCCUGGAUGGCUCAGUUGGUUGAGCAUCUGACUUCGGUUCAGGUCAUGAUCUCACUCACAGUCUGUGGGUUUGAGCCCCAUGUCGGGCU
rnacentral:tRNA from 1 species